rnacentral:rRNA from 1 species
GAGCCUACGGGAGGCAGCAGUGGGGAAUAUUGCACAAUGGAGGAAACUCUGACGCAGUGACGCCGCGUAUAGGAAGAAGGUUUUCGGAUUGUAAACUAUUGUCGAUAGGGAAGAAAAAAGACUGUACCUAUCAAGAAAGCUCCGGCUAACUACGUGCCAGCAGCCGCGGUAAUACGGAGGGAGCAAGCGUUAUCCGGAAUUAUUGGGAGUAAAGGGUGCGUAGACGGGAUGUCAAGUUAGUUGUGAAAUACCUCGGCUC